GGACCCAGAGCUUAGUUGGUUGAGCCGCGCCCUUCGAUUCGGGUGUCCGUUGUAUUCCGAUGGCGUUGGUGAGGGUUCGAAUCCCUCGGGGUUCA